GACGAACGCUGGCGGCGUGCUUAACACAUGCAAGUCGAACGGAAAGGCCCUGCGUUUUAGUGGUGCUCGAGUGGCGAACGGGUGAGUAACACGUAAGUAACCUGCCCGUGACUUUGGGAUAACUUCAGGAAACUGGGGCUAAUACCGGAUAGCAGCUCCUGCUGCAUGGUGGGGGUUGGUAAGUUUCGGCGGGUGGGGAUGGACUCGCGGCUUAUCAGCUUGUUGGUGGGGUAGUGGCUUACCAAGGCUUUGACGGAUAGCCGGCCUGAGAGGGUGACCGGCCACAUUGGGACUGAUAUACGGCCCAGACUCCUACGGGAGGCAGCAGUGGGGAAUAUUGCACAAUGGGCGGAAGGCUGAUGCAGCAACGCAGCGUGCGGGAUGACGGCCCUCGGGUUGCAAACCGCUUUCGCCUGUGACGAAGCGUGAGUGACGGUAAUGGGUAAAGAAGCACCGGCUAACUACGUG
rnacentral:rRNA from 1 species